rnacentral:rRNA from 1 species
UACUAGAGUAGCACUCGCAUAUCAAUAAGCGGAGGAAAAGAAACUAACAAGGAUUCCCCUAGUAACGGCGAGUGAAGCGGGAAGAGCUCAAAUUUGAAAUCUUAAAGGGUUUCCCUUUACGAAUUGUAGUUUAAAGAAGUGUUUUCUGUUGAGGUUUUGGUAAAAGUUCUUUGGAAUAGGACAUCAUAGAGGGUGAGAAUCCCGUAUUUGACCUUUACUUUCAACUUUGUGAUACACUUUCAAAGAGUCGGAUUGUUUGGGAAUGCAGUCCAAAAUGGGUGGUAAAUUUCAUCUAAAGCUAAAUAUUGGCGAGAGACCGAUAGCGAACAAGUACCGUGAGGGAAAGAUGAAAAGAACUUUGAAAAGAAAGUUAAACAGUACGUGAAAUUGUCAAAAGGGAAGCGUUUGACACCAGUGUUGUUUUUCUGAAAAUCAAUUAAAGAACUGUUUAUGCUAAGCUGUUUAGACUUUAUCAGCUAACUGUUUAGUUUUGAGCUUUUCUUUAAUGCACUUUUCAGUUAACAAGUCAACAUCAAUUUCUUUUGCUGUAAAAAAGCUUGAGGAAGGUGGCUUGAGAUUCGUCUUAAGUGUUUAUAGCCUCUUGCCUAUGCAGUCGGAGAGAUUGAGGUCUGCAGCGUAGAUCCUUCGGGGCUAAAUGCAUUUGUGCUAAGUUAUAGCAUUUUAUAGACAACUUGUUGACUAUGAUUUGUCUUGUAGCUUACUCGCUUAUGUUAUUUUACCUACGCUUAGGAUGUUGAUCUCUCACAGUCGAGC